rnacentral:tRNA from 1 species
AGGAUAAUAGUUAAUUUAACAUUUAAUUUGCAUUUAAAAAAUAUUGAUAAUAAUAAUCAAUUUAUCUUA